GAGAGUGUGGUAUAAUGGUUUGAGUGUUGGACUACAACUCUGGAGACCAGCGUUCAAAUCCCUGCUCAAUCA